rnacentral:rRNA from 1 species
GCGAGUGAUGUCAUAUAACGAGGGUAUUAGCCCCGCUUUUUCUUCCUCGCUGAAAGUGCUUUACAACCCUAAGGCCUUCUUCACACACGCGGCAUGGCUGCGUCAGGCUUUCGCCCAUUGCGCAAGAUUCCCU